rfam:Daphnia pulex DAPPTscaffold_362_Cont9038, whole genome shotgun sequence.
GUCAAGAUGGCCGAGUGGUUAAAGAGCCAGAAUUAAGAUUCUAAUUCAAAUAAUAGAUUAAUAGGUAAUCUUUUGAUAUCCGUUACUUGGCAUUCUGGUCUUCUAAGAAGGCGUGGGUUCGAACCCCACUCUUGACA